rnacentral:lncRNA from 1 species
CAUAAGCAGGAGUUACAUACAUACUUACAUAAUUGUGGUAGCCUACAGGAAAAGACACAUUUAAAAAUUCUGCUACAUUAUAGUUACUUUGAACUGCUUUCCACGCCCCCUCUGGCUGCAUUGCUAUGGAGAAUAAAGACAGAAGCUUUUAAUUUCAAUCAGAAAACAGUGUUCAGGUAAAACAUGUGCUCUCUGCAUUCCUCUGGAGGAUAUACAAGCACUCCAAACCCACAACAAUAAUGCCCCUGGGGGGCUUUCCAGUUAAUUAGCAUCACCUUGAUCUGCAUUGACCCCUCCUCUUAUCCUGUCACUGCAUCAUAAGGUAUAGUUCGAGCAAACCUGAGCUCUCUGCAGAGUGCACAGAGGCAGCAUGUAUUCCAGCUGAUGCCAUGAGGAGGGUUUGUGACUGCCAUCCACAUAGUUUUACGCUUCAAGGGAAAUAUUCUGGACGGGAGUUCCUACAGUGGGCUCAUCAGUCCUCAGCCUCGGCAGACUGGUGCACAUCCCUGCAGAUCCUAUACGUCCACCGAGGACCCAUCAGAAAGCAGGCAGCGCCUAAGUGGCGAAGUGUGUCUACAUUCCUCUGGAGUUAAACUGGUCACCAUGAAGCACCAAUCAAUCUCCUGCUGGUUGAGCCAACUGGGACUGCCACAGUACUGCAUGGUGUUAGAGCAGGAAUAUGAUGGUGUAGAGGACAUCCUGCAUCUGUCGGAGUAUGACCUCUUGGAGCUGGGGGUCCACAAUCACCUCCACCGCCUGCAUCUGCUCACUUCCCUGCGCCUCCUCCAAGAGCGAGAAAGGAGGAGAGGUAAUGUCCCACCACAGGACCACAUCCAUGAUGACCAGGUUGUCCCCAAAUUUGACU